CUAAUACUGCAUGUGGUUGUCGGAUGGCAUCAUCUGACAACUAAAGUCGCAAGACGCUCUCAGAUGGGCCCGCGGACUAUUAGCUAGUUGAUGAGGUAACGGCCCACCAAGGCAAUGAUGGGUACCUGGUCUGAGAGGACGGACAGCCACACUGGGACUGAGACACGGCCCAGACUCCUACGGGAGGCAGCAGUUGAGGAAUUUUCCGCAAUGGGCGAAAGCCUGACGGAGCAACGCCGCGUGAGGGAUGAAGUCUCUAGGGAUGUAAACCUCUGUUGGGAGGGACGAAGAUCUGACGGUACCUCCUGAGGAAGCCCCGGCUAACUACGUGCCAGCAGCCGCGGUAAUACGUAGGGGGCGAGCGUUAUCCGGAUUUACUGGGUGUAAAGAGCGCGUAGGCGGUUCCGUAAGUUGGUUGUGAAAGUUCGAUGCUUAACCUCGAAACUGCGUCCAAUACUGCGGGGCUGGAGUGCAAGAGAGGCAAGUGGAAUUCCGCAUGUAGUAGUGAAAUGCGUAGAUAUGCGGAGGAACACCAGUGGCGAAGGCGGCUUGCUAGCUUGUAACUGACGCUGAGGCGCGAAAGCUAGGGGAGCGAACG
rnacentral:rRNA from 1 species